UACGUAGGGUGCGAGCGUUAAUCGGAAUUACUGGGCGUAAAGCGUGCGCAGGCGGUUUUGCAAGCCGGAUGUGAAAUCCCCGGGCUUAACCUGGGAAUGGCAUUUGGGACUGCAAGGCUGGAGUGCGGCAGAGGAGACUGGAAUUCCUGGUGUAGCAGUGAAAUGCGUAGAUAUCAGGAGGAACAUCGAUGGCGAAGGCAGGUCUCUGGGCUGACACUGACGCUCAUGCACGAAAGCGUGGGGAGCAAACAGG
rnacentral:rRNA from 1 species